GACAGAGGGUGCAAACGUUGCUCGGAAUUACUGGGCGUAAAGCGCGUGUAGGCGGUCACGCAAGUCAGGUGUGAAAGCCCUGGGCUCAACCCAGGAAGUGCACAUGAUACUACGUGGCUGGAGUACUGAAGAGGAGAGCGGAAUUCCCGGUGUAGAGGUGAAAUUCGUAGAUAUCGGGAGGAACACCCGUGGCGAAAGCGGCUCUCUGGGACGGUACUGACGCUGAGACGCGAAAGCGUGGGGAGCAAACGGG
rnacentral:rRNA from 1 species